CAUGUUUAAACAACCCAGAGAGGCAUGAGGAUCGAUGCCCAUCUAUUUCUCAUAUCAGUUCUGAGAGCAAAGGAAUAAAGCAAAGCCUUUGGU